rnacentral:tRNA from 1 species
CGCCCGCUCGUGCAGGAUGCGUGGGCGACGCUGUGGGCGCUGCCGGUGCCCGCCGCGGCGCAGCUGCCGUUCCGCAUCGCAACGAACGU